rnacentral:rRNA from 1 species
UGGGGAAUUUUGGACAAUGGGCGAAAGCCUGAUCCAGCAAUGCCGCGUGUGUGAAGAAGGCCUUCGGGUUGUAAAGCACUUUUGUCCGGAAAGAAAUCCUUGGCUCUAAUACAGUCGGGGGAUGACGGUACCGGAAGAAUAAGCACCGGCUAACUACGUGCCAGCAGCCGCGGUAAUACGUAGGGUGCAAGCGUUAAUCGGAAUUACUGGGCGUAAAGCGUGCGCAGGCGGUUUGCUAAGACCGAUGUGAAAUCCCCGGGCUCAACCUGGGAACUGCAUUGGUGACUGGCAGGCUAGAGUAUGGCAGAGGGGGGUAGAAUUCCACGUGUAGCAGUGAAAUGCGUAGAGAUGUGGAGGAAUACCGAUGGCGAAGGCAGCCCCCUGGGCCAAUACUGACGCUCAUGCACGAAAGCGUGGGGAGCAAACAGGAUUAGAUACCCUGGUAGUCCACGCCCUAAACGAUGUCAACUAGUUGUUGGGGAUUCAUUUCCUUAGUAACGUAGCUAACGCGUGAAGUUGACCGCCUGGGGAGUACGGUCGCAAGGUUAAAACUUAAAUGAAUUGACGGGGUCAUAGCUGUUU